UCUAACAGUGCCCCACAGUGACCAAAACACAGCAGUGCUGGGAGUUGGGGCCUAUGGCCUGAGAGUUGCCACAGUUUUGAAGGAGGAGGAAGGGGACCUGCAGGGGCUCCAGACACUUCUUCAUCCCAUGUGUGUGGUCCCUUCGAUGAGAGGAUGGAAAGUGUUCCAAGAGGGUCUGGACGGUAUCCAUUGUUCCCACUCAGCUGCCUACAAGUGGAGCCACCUGGAUGUGGAGCUGCUACUGUCAUUGAGGCAGACCCGGUUACAAAGGCAUGUGAAGGGCUGAGCAGCAAUUAAUCAGCUGGACUGGGUACAGUUGUCAGGCAGCUCUACAGAUUCCAUAACUGAAGACACAAGGAUUAAUCCUUGGUAAAAUAUCAGAGCCCUGAAAGAUCAUAGCCAACUUGUUCUGCUAACUGAAAUAAUUAGCUCAAACAGGUGGAUAUUGUGUACAGUGAUAUCUCCAAAGCUGCUUUUGGAUACAUUUGUAUCCCAUGCAGCUCAAAAAUCCUUCAAUUCAUAGUUCAUGUAAAAAUCACACUCUGAGAUGAGAAGAUAUCUAUGCACACUCCUCUGCAAACCACAUGCAACUUACUUUGGAUAUCAGUUUAGGCUUUAUUUCUGCAAGAUGAGUUUUGGUGAUGGCUCUGCCCUGAUGGAAGUGGAUCUGCUUUCCUGGGGAUGGCUUCUUUCCUAGCCCUUAAAAUACAAACAAUGAACUGGCUUGGAAAAAUGAAAUCUCACACAGUGGCACUCAGUCCUGGGAAAACAUCCUUCUGUCUUCCAAAUUGAACUGUUCCCUAUUUGCUGUUUCAUUAAAUCAGAAUAUUUUCUCACAAAGAAAUAGAUUCUGCACUGAAUGACAAAAACACUGGUCCCUGAAAUUUGUGCUCUGCCUGACUAGGAAUGAUCUGAGAAAGAGAAGGAAAACAAGAUUAUUCUGUUAUGAAUGAAGUAA